AUUGAACGCUGGCGGCAUGCUUUACACAUGCAAGUCGAACGGUAACAGGGUGCUUGCACCGCUGACGAGUGGCGAACGGGUGAGUACUGCGUCGGAACGUGCCGAGUAGUGGGGGAUGACGCAGCGAAAGUUGUGCUAAUACCGCAUACGUACUGAGGUAGAAAGUGGGGGACCUUCGGGCCUCACGCGAUUCUAGCGGCCGACGUCGGAUUAGCUAGUAGGUGAGGUAAAGGCUCACCUAGGCGACGAUCAGUAGCGGGUCUGAGAGGAUGAUCCGCCACACUGGGACUGAGACACGGCCCAGACUCCUACGGGAGGCAGCAGUGGGAAUUUUGGACAAUGGGCGAAAGCCUGAUCCAGCCAUGCCGCGUGUCUGAAGAAGGCCUUCGGGUUGUAAAGGACUUUUGUCGGGGAGGAAAUCCCCAGCGUUAAUACCGCUGGGGGAUGACAGUACCUGAAGAAUAAGCACCGGCUAACUAUGUGCCAGCCGCCGCAGUAA
rnacentral:rRNA from 1 species